rnacentral:ncRNA from 2 species
GCCGAGAGCCGCGACCGCGGCGGUCGAGGCAAGAGGGAACCCGGUGCGAAUCCGGGACUGCCCCGCAGCGGUGAGCGGGAACGAACGCCGUCCCCGGUCCGAGGAGACCGGGAACAGCACUGGACCACAGCGUCUGGGAAGCGACGGCCAGUAGGAACACCCGGCCACGACGAGGCCGGGAAGCGCCCGCGAGUCCGAAGACCUGCCACCGGUGCGUGCACACC